rnacentral:rRNA from 1 species
GUCUAGGAGACGCUGGCGGCGUGCCUAAUACAUGCAAGUCGAACGCACUCUCGUUUAGAUUGAAGGAGCUUGCUCCUGAUUGAUAAACAUUUGAGUGAGUGGCGGACGGGUGAGUAACACGUGGGUAACCUGCCCUAAAGUGGGGGAUAACAUUUGGAAACAGAUGCUAAUACCGCAUAAAACCUAACACCGCAUGGUGUAGGGUUGAAAGAUGGUUUCGGCUAUCACUUUAGGAUGGACCCGCGGUGCAUUAGUUAGUUGGUGAGGUAAAGGCUCACCAAGACCGUGAUGCAUAGCCGACCUGAGAGGGUAAUCGGCCACACUGGGACUGAGACACGGCCCAGACUCCUACGGGAGGCAGCAGUAGGGAAUCUUCCACAAUGGACGAAAGUCUGAUGGAGCAACGCCGCGUGAGUGAAGAAGGUUUUCGGAUCGUAAAACUCUGUUGUUGGAGAAGAAUGUAUCUGAUAGUAACUGAUCAGGUAGUGACGGUAUCCAACCAGAAAGCCACGGCUAACUACGUGCCAGCAGCCGCGGUAAUACGUAGGUGGCAAGCGUUGUCCGGAUUUAUUGGGCGUAAAACGAGCGCAGGCGGUUUCUUAAGUCUGAUGUGAAAGCCUUCGGCUCAACCGAAGAAGUGCAUCGGAAACUGGGAAACUUGAGUGCAGAAGAGGACAGUGGAACUCCAUGUGUAGCGGUGAAAUGCGUAUAUAUAUGGAAGAACACCAGUGGCGAAGGCGGCUGUCUGGUCUGUAACUGACGCUGAGGCUCGAAAGCAUGGGUAGCAAACAGGAUUAGAUACCCUGGUAGUCCAUGUCGUAAACGAUGAGUGCUAGGUGUUGGAGGGUUUCCGCCCUUCAGUGCCGCAGCUAACGCAUUAAGCACUCCGCCUGGGGAGUACGACCGCAAGGUUGAAACUCGAGGAAUUUGAU